AGAGSGUGCAAGCGUUAAUCGGAAUUACUGGGCGUAAAGCGCGCGUAGGUGGUUUGUYAAGUUGGAUGUGAAAGCCCCGGGCUCAACCUGGGAACUGCAUUCAAAACUGMCAAGYUAGAGUAUGGUAGAGGGUGGUGGAAUUUCCUGUGUAGCGGUGAAAUGCGUAGAUAUAGGAAGSAACACCAGUGGCGAAGGCGACCACCUGGACUGAUAYUGACAYUGAGGUGSGAAAGCGUGGGGAGCAAACAGGAUUAGAUACCCUGGUAGUCCACGCCGUAAACGAUGUCAACUAGCCGUUGGGAGCCUUGAGCUCUUAGUGGCGCAGCUAACGCAUUAAGUUGACCGCCUGGGGAGUACGGCCGCAAGGUUA
rnacentral:rRNA from 1 species